GCGGGUGUAGUUUAGUGGUAAAACUCCUCUCUUCCAAAGAGGUAUCGUCGGUUCGAUUCCGUCCACCCGCUCCA
rnacentral:tRNA from 1 species